AAACUGGCUAUUAAUGGGUUGGCUGUUGUGGCCAAUUAAACUAUAAAUAAAUUGCUUGUUGAUUUAAUAUAGAGAAUGUUGGCUGAUUUUAGAUAUUGCUAUGUUGAAGAAUCAUAUGAAUUAGAAUUAUGCAGUUUGCUUAUUUUUCAUCAAAUCCUUCUUUUGCUUAUAUUUAUAUUUCAUUUUUUAAUAUUUUGUUUUAAUGACUCUUAAGGUUCGUGUUUAUCUUUUCUUUCCUUCUAAAAAAUGAUAUGCCAUUCCACUUUUGCAAAUUAAGCCCCAUAUUUUGGACUGCACCUAAAUGCCAUAAGGCAUCCGGCUUCCAUGCAUUGA
rnacentral:misc_RNA from 1 species